UGGGAGGGGCAAGCAGGGAGGGCGCGUGCGCGUGCGCUUGUGUAGGCGCAGGGAUCUCGCACCUGCAGCCGAAUUACAGCAGGGGGAGGGUCGGGCUGGGCUGAGGCGACGAAGUUCUCUCUUAGGGUGGCGGCAGCAGCAGCAGGAGGGGGAACAGGGUGGCUGCAGCAGGAGUGAGUGGAGUGCCUGCAGUGGAAAUGAAGGAUCUCCCUGUGUUCUGAGGAUCCAGUCACCUUGGGGAUAGAUUUCUGGCCUGGGGUUCCAAGAGCACAGGCUUCAGACCGGAACCAAGACCCCACUACACUCACAGCAUCAGAACCACACAGAUGCUGCUGCUGCUUCUGAACUUCCUCUUCAGGCCACAGCCCAAGGCCUCCUCACAGCCCUGGAUCUGCGACCCAGAAGUGGAGAGUGAGCAACAGACCUGGCACUUGGCAGCCAUUUCUGCACCCUUCAUAAGGAAGACUAAAAAAAUGAAAGAAAGUGAUACAGUAUCAGUUCUUUCUCUGGAGGAGAUCGUGCUUCAUCAUGAGUCCUUUGGCAUUGUCUUGGAUCGUCAUAUGGCCGAGAGUAGGCUUCCUUCAAAUUGUGGUUGUGGACGUGCCAUUUCAUCCAUGAGAAACAGCAAAAAAACGCCACUUCAUUGACUUACAAGGAAACUUCCAAUCUUCUUUAAGGCUUCAGACUGGAACCAAGACCCCACUACACUCACAGCAUCAGAGCCACGCUGCUGCUGCUGCUUCUGAACUUCCUCUUCAGGCCACAACCCAAAGCCUGCAACCCCUCCUCACUCAGCCCUGGAUCUACGACCCAGAAAUGGAGCCUGAGCAACAGACCUGGUACUUGGCAGCCAUUUCUGCACCCUUCAUAAGAGCACAGAAUUAGAAACUGAGGAGGUGCCCAUCAACUGGAGAGACAAGUUGUGGCAUAUAGAUAGAAUGAAAUACCACAGCGCUGUAAAAAAUGAUGAAAGGAAUGAUUUCAGAGAAACAGGCAAAGACUUGUAUGAACUGAGGGAGAGUGAACACAACCAGGAAAACACUUUAUACUGACAACAAUACUGUGAGGUCAACUGCAAAAGAUUCUGCAACUGUUAUCACCUGAUCACCUUAAUGACCAACCACUAUUUCAGAGCACUAGGGAUGAAGCAUGCUACCCACCUCCUCAACAAGAAGUGAAAGAUUCAGAGUACCCAAUGAGACAUUUUUCUCAUAUGUCCAAUGAGAUUUGUUUUGUCUGACUACACAUUUGCAACAUGGGUUUUGCUUUUCUUUCUUAAUUUGUGUGGGGGGAGGGGAGUGAUGGUGAGAGAGAAGGCAGAUUUUUGCCAACUGGAAAAAAUAAAAUUUAAUGUAAAAUGAAGACAGGAUGCUUUAGUGAUGCUUACAAUUAGGCAUUACAUUGCGAAAAAAUAAUUAAAUCAGGGCAGCUAGGCACCACAGUGGAUAGAGAGCUGGCCCUGGAUUCAGAAGGAUCUGAGGAAAAAUCCAGCCUCAGACACUUAU